rnacentral:rRNA from 1 species
GUUUAAGCGUGUAGGGGUGACCUGGUAAAUCGGUUACAUACUAACCCUGAGGCGUGAUGACGAUGCACUACGGUGCAGAAGUAGUUGAUGCCCUGCUUCCAGGAAAAGCCUCUAAGCUCUAGGUAACAUUGAAUCGUACCCCAAACCGACACAGGUGGUCAGGUAGAGAAUACCAAGGCGCUUGAGAGAACUCGGGUGAAGGAACUAGGCAAAAUGGUGCCGUAACUUCGGGAGAAGGCACGCUGGCAUGUAGGUGAAGUCCCUUGCGGAUGGAGCUGAAGCCAGUCGAAGAUACCAGCUGGCUGCAACUGUUUAAUAAAACACAGCACUGUGCAAACACGAAAGUGGACGUAUACGGUGUGACGCCUGCCCGGUGCUGGAAGGUUAAUUGAUGGGGUCAGCCGCAAGGCGAAGCUCUUGAUCGAAGCCCCAGUAAACGGCGGCCGUAACUAUAACGGUCCUAAGGUAGCGAAAUUCCUUGUCGGGUAAGUUCCGACCUGCACGAAUGGCGUAAUGAUGGCCAGGCUGUCUCCACCCGAGACUCAGUGAAAUUGAACUCGCUGUGAAGAUGCAGUGUACCCGCGGCAAGACGGAAAGACCCCGUGAACCUUUACUAUAGCUUGACACUGAACAUUGAGCCUUGAUGUGUAGGAUAGGUGGGAGGCUUUGAAGCGUGGACGCCAGUCUGCGUGGAGCCAUCCUUGAAAUACCACCCUUUAAUGUUUGAUGUUCUAACUCGGCCCCAUAAUCUGGGGUGAGGACAGUGUCUGGUGGGUAGUUUGACUGGGGCGGUCUCCUCCCAAAGAGUAACGGAGGAGCACGAAGGUUAGCUAAUCACGGUCGGACAUCGUGAGGUUAGUGCAAAGGCAUAAGCUAGCUUGACUGCGAGUGACGGCUCGAGCAGGUACGAAAGUAGGUCUUAGUGAUCCGGUGGUUCUGAAUGGAAGGGCCAUCGCUCAACGGAUAAAAGGUACUCCGGGGAUAACAGGCUGAUACCGCCCAAGAGUUCAUAUCGACGGCGGUGUUUGGCACCUCGAUGUCGGCUCAUCACAUCCUGGGGCUGAAGUAGGUCCCAAGGGUAUGGCUGUUCGCCAUUUAAAGUGGUACGCGAGCUGGGUUUAGAACGUCGUGAGACAGUUCGGUCCCUAUCUGCCGUGGGCGUUGGAAGAUUGAGAGGGGUUGCUCCUAGUACGAGAGGACCGGAGUGAACGCACCACUGGUGUUCGGGUUGUCAUGCCAAUGGCAUUGCCCGGUAGCUAAGUGCGGAAAAGAUAAGCGCUGAAAGCAUCUAAGCGCGAAACUUGCCUCAAGAUGAGUCUUCCCUGGGCCUUUAAGGCCCCUGAAGGAACGUUUAAGACUAAGACGUUGAUAGGCUGGGUGUGUAAGUGCAGCGAUGCAUUGAGCUAACCAGUACUAAUGAUCCGUGAGGCUUAACCUUACAACACCGAAGGUGUUUUAG